GAAGGAAGGAAGGAAGGAAGGAAAGUUUUGAUAUAUUUUCUUAAAGAGAGUGCAGGAGUUUAAUCACAAGGGAAGGAUGUAAGAGCAGAUGGCCAAAUUAAUAAAAUCCUUUUAAUCUGAAUUGCUCAUGCAAGAAUUGAUGCUGUAUCCUGAAUCAUCUGUUCUGUUUUUGAUGGAUAUUAAGGCUGAUCAGGCCUGCUUUGGACCAAAAACCCAGAAAAAACACCAGGAGCUCACGCCUGUGGCCCACCAGGGCCUGGGACACAACAUUCCAGUACUGGAGGGACUGAGAGACGCUCAGUGAGCCAGGAAACACCCACAGAGGACUCUCUCUGGACUACAGAAGGACUUUCUGAAUUUGCCAUCUCUUAAGAACAGUGAGAGGUUUCAUUGUUUAAUAUUACUCAUCUUUAUAUGCUUGUGAAUACUUUGCUUGUUAAAUUAACAGUUUUCUCCACUUUUCUCAAAGGAGGUUAAUCUCCCGAACAGUUUGGGGGAAGGGCCACUGAAUUUUGCCCUUUAGGGAAUAAUUUUUUGGAAAUUCCCUCCCUAAAUUUGCCCUAAACCAGGACAGUAUGUGUCUGUACAGCUAGAAUUUUGGGGGAAAGCAUACAUCAGAAAUGUUUCAGUUAUAUAAUGUAAUAGAAUUUGUUGCAGUACAAGCUGAUUUGUGCCAAACAUUAAUCCAGCUAUAAAUAAGAAACCCAGCCCAGUUUCAUAAACCAGCCUCUGGGCUGACUGACAUAGGUUUCAACCAAUAACAACUCUCCUAAUUUACAAACAUGUGACUGGUUCAGAGUCUGGGAGGUAUGGGGAUUAGACCAAUGACUGUUUAGAGCUGAGAGCUUUGAAUAGCCCAUAAAAGCAAGCCCCACACAAUAAAACAGGCUGUUUGGCUGAUUAACAAUGGAAGUCUGUCGUGUAUUCUGUGUCAGAUGCAUGAACAUCACGUUUCAGAAUUUAAUAGAUUCCUCUUGCAACUUUGCAUUGCAUUUAAUUUCCAUCAAGUAGCCUAUCACAAUGAUUUUAUCACUGGGGUUGUCUCUAAUACUCUAUAAUACAUCAAGUGUCAUUGGCUGCACUGAGAUUUCAUGGGUCAGCUGAGAUGAAUACUUAUGGAAGUUGAUAAUAAAAAAGAAAUGGAAGUUGAUGAAAAUUAGCAUAGGAGAUGGCUGCCAAGUGCUUUGUAAGGAUAAGAGUCCUUAGAAGGUCAUUCAAAGUCCAUUGGUGUGACAUGAAACAGAUGAAUUGGAGGCGAAUUCACAACUGGGAGACUGGACUCAGUACUUAGCUAGCCAAGGAAAUGCUACUAAAUAUCAUUGAUAAGAAUUGACAUUCACAUCAACAGAAGUCAGCUGUCUGAGUUCAGCUUCAAAAACCACAAUAUUUGAAGGGAGAGAAACAUCCCUGUGGCCAAAUAUACCUUCAAGACUGGCUAUUUCAAACACAUGAACAGGAAAAAGAUGUAACAAUAAUUUUAUUACAACUAAAUGAUUUUUACAUCAAAAACUAAACUCAUAUUAAUAUUUUGUGCCCAUAUUCCAUAACAUUUAUGUGAGACUGUAUUUAUUUUAACAUUACUGAUGUCAUCACUAGCUUUCUUCAUACAUAGUUACAAUAAAAUAUAAGAUGUGAAAGUACAUUAAAACUUCAUGCUAUUCAUCACUCUAAUUUUCAGCAAUAAUUAUUUUCCAUUCAUCUUAGAAAUCUUGUAAUGAUUUCAUUGUCAUGGGUAUGGAAAAGUGUUCAUUACUACUACAUAUUAAAUAAUACUUCUAAUCUUGACAUUCUGAAGUGGUAGUAACUCAAACAUUAACUUAUGGCAGCUUCUUACUCACAGGUUUCUCCAGAAAGCAAAGUUUUGAAAGCAAUUUAAAUUAAAGUAUUAAUAUAUUUAAUUAAAAAAAUAUAUAUUUUACUUAUCUCUUUGAAAUUACAGUUUAUAAUUUUGUAUGCAUAUAAGGUCUGUAUCCUCUUUUCUCCCAAGUUCUUACUUUGUAUUGUUCAUAGCCAGAGUACACCAGUUUUUUAUCCAUUUUCAUUGUCUUUGUAUAAAUACAUAAACUUCAACCACUCAGAUCAGUGAGUUUAACAUUUCCUAGAAUGCAUCAAUCUCUUUCUAUGGAUUCUAGAACACCUAAUGGGAAUUCUAACGUUGGUGUCUUUAGAAGAUUACUCAAUACUACUGAAGUUAAGUGAGGUGAAAACACGGACUAGAGCAAUAGCAACAAGAGAUCUGUGGCAUGAGUUGUUUCCUCCGUGAUCUUAGGAUUCAGUGAUCUUAGACUAAAGCAAGAGUAUCUUAAGUGGGUUAAAAACAUGGUAUCAAUAAAAAGUACAAUAAUUUGUCAGUCAAAUUGAAAAUCAAAAUGAAACAAGUAGAGAAAUACAAGUAUAAGAAAUACUAGAAACAGUAUGGGCUAAAUAGCCAUAAAACAUUAAUCCUUAAAAAACAUGCUAUGAAUUCAAAUCUAACUGUGUAGAUAUAAU